rnacentral:sRNA from 1 species
CGGCCGCCUCCAGCCCGGCCCUGCCCGGGGUCUACCUGCUCUUCGCCUCGCGCCUGCCCGGAGCGCUCAUGCACACGCUGCCAGCCGCCCAGAUGGUCAUCACGGACCUGUCGGCACCCGAGGAGCGGCCCGCGGCCCUGGGCCGGCUGGGCCUCUGCUUCGGCGUCGGAGUCAUCCUCGGCUCCCUGCUGGGCGGGACCCUGGUCUCCGCGUACGGGUGAGUGGUGGGGGCCGGGGCGGAGGCUGUGGGUCAGGACGCCCACGGCUGGGUCGGCCCCGCCCCGCCCCCUCUCGGCCUCGGUUUCCCCUUUUGCUCGUGGGGCGU